rnacentral:rRNA from 1 species
UACGUAGGGUGCAAGCGUUAAUCGGAAUUACUGGGCGUAAAGCGUGCGCAGGCGGUUUUGUAAGUCUGACGUGAAAUCCCCCGGGCUCAACCUGGGAAUUGCGUUGGAGACUGCAAGGCUGGAGUCUGGCAGAGGGGGGUAGAAUUCCACGUGUAGCAGUGAAAUGCGUAGAGAUGUGGAGGAACACCGAUGGCGAAGGCAGCCCCCUGGGUCAAGACUGACGCUCAUGCACGAAAGCGUGGGGAGCAAACGAGGAUUAGA